rnacentral:rRNA from 1 species
UUCCCCCUCCUUUUUGUUUGUUUUUUUUCUUCCCCUUUUUUUGCCUAAACGAUGCCAACUGACGAUCCCGUGGUGGUAGUGCUGUAGCAACCUUUCCCCCACGGGCAGUCCCCGGGAAACCUUUAAGUCUUUGGGUUCCGGGGGAAGUAUGGUUGCAAAGCUGAAACUUAAAGGAAUUGACGGAAGGGCACCACCAGGGAGUGGAGCCUGCGGCUUAAUUUGACUCAACACGGGAAAACUCACCCGGGCCGGACACUAUGAGGAUUGACAGAUUGAUAGCUCUUUCUUGAUUUGGUGGUUGGUGGUGCAUGGCCGUUCUUAGUUGGUGGAGCGAUUUGUCUGGUUAAUUCCGAUAACGAACGAGACUCCAGCCUGCUAAUUAGUGCGUUUGUCCACUGCACCUGUGUAGGCGGCGUUGGACGAGGCUGCUACCGUGGGCGAUAGGGUUAGUAGGCGGGCGCCCGGGCCAACUGGUAGACCUCUACUGGUUCGGCCUUGUCCGUCUGCUAGCUGGUACGCCUUAGUUGGCUGGUCAAUUGGCUAGCUAGCUGGGAGUUGGCGUCUGCGGUGGGCUGGUCAGUCUGGUGUUAGCCUCCGGGUGCGGCGCGAAUGCCUACUUCUUAGAGGGACAAGCGGGAGAAGCCGCACGAAAUAGAGCAAUAACAGGUCUGUGAUGCCCUUAGAUGUCCGGGGCCGCACGCGCGCUACAAUGACGGUGUCAACGAGUCAGACCUUCUGGCCUGAAAGGGUUGGGUAAACUGGUCAAUCACCGUCGUGACAGGGAUCGGGGCUUGGAAUUGUUCCCCGUGAACGAGGAAUUCCUAGUAAGUGCAAGUCAUAAGCUUGCGCUGAUUACGUCCCUGCCCUUUGUACACACCGCCCGUCGCUACUACCGAUUGAAUGGUUUAGUGAGGUCCUUGGAUUGGCGCCUUUGUGGUAGUCCCCCAAAAGGUGGCCGCCCGAACAAGUGGCUGAAAAAAACAACCGAACUUUGAUCAUUUUAAAGGAAGUAAAAGUCUACAGCGUUUGGGAUGUGAGAGAGAGAAAAAAAAAAAGAAGAACCAAAGCGC